UUGCUCGAGUGGCGAACGGGUGAGUAACACGUGAGUAACCUGCCCUCGACUUUGGGAUAACUUCAGGAAACUGGGGCUAAUACCGGAUAGGAGCUCCUGCUGCAUGGUGGGGUUGGAAAGUUUCGGCGGUUGGGGAUGGACUCGCGGCUUAUCAGCUUGUUGGUGGGGUAGUGGCUUACCAAGGCUUUGACGGGUAGCCGGCCUGAGAGGGUGACCGGCCACAUUGGGACUGAGAUACGGCCCAG
rnacentral:rRNA from 1 species